rnacentral:tRNA from 1 species
UGGCCUAGUGGCUCAGUUGGUUAGAGCGCCGCCCUGUCACGGCGGAGGUCACGGGUUCGAGUCCCGUCUGGGUCGUC